GAAAGUAAUAAAGGGCGUAUGGGGGAUGCCUAGGCUCUUGGAGGCGAAGAAAGACGUGGUAAGCUGCGAUAAGCCUCGGGGAUUUGCAAACGAGAAUUGAUCCGAGGAUUUCUGAAUGGGACAACCCGGCAGGCAGAAGGCCUGUCACACGAAAGUGGGCCAACCCUCUGAACUGAAACAUCUUAGUAGGAGGAGGAAAAGAAAGAAACAUCGAUUUCCUAAGUAGCGGCGAGCGAACGGGAAACAGCCUAAACCACAAUUGUUACGGCAACUGUGGGGUUGUAGGACUGCAAUAUUCAAAUGACUGUGAACUGGAAUGUUCUGGAAAGUUCAUCCAUAGAGAGUGAAAGACUCGUACAGGCAAGCACGUCAGGCGAUAGCAGUAUCCUGAGUAGGGCGGGACACGAGGAAUCCUGUCUGAAUCCGCCGGGACCACCCGGUAAGGCUAAAUACUCCCAAGAGACCGAUAGUGAACCAGUACCGUGAGGGAAAGGUGAAAAGAACCCCGAACAGGGGAGUGAAAUAGAACCUGAAACCAUACGCUUACAACCUGUCGGAGCGGCUUCGUGCCGUGACGGCGUGCCUAUUGAAUAAUGAGCCUACGAGUUACUAAUCACUGGCAAGGUUAAGUGCACGGAUGCACGGAGCCGAAGCGAAAGCGAGUCUGAAUAGGGCGUUUAGUCAGUGGUUGUAGACGCGAAACCUUGCGAUCUACCCUUGAGCAGGUUGAAGGUUGGGUAAAACCAACUGGAGGACCGAACGAAUAAGCGUUGAAAAGCUUCUCGAUGACUUGAGGGUAGGGGUGAAAGGCUAAUCAAGCUGGGAAAUAGCUCGUACUCCCCGAAAUGCCUUUAGGGGCAGCGUUGUAAUUAAGAGUCUACUGGAGGUAGAGCUACUGAUUGGAUGCGGGGGCUUCACCGCCUACCAAAUCCUGACAAACUCCGAAUGCCAGUAGUAUGAUUUACAGCAGUGAGCGACCGGGUGCUAAUGUCCGGUUACGAGAGUGGAACAACACAGACCAGCAACUAAGGUCCCCAAGAGUAUACUAAGUUGAUCUAACGAUGUUUUGCUGCAGAGACAGCUAGGAUGUUAGCUUGGAAGCAGCUAUUCAUUCAAAGAGUGCGUAACAGCUCACUAGUCGAGCGGCAAAGCGUGGAUAAUAAACGGGCAUCAAGUAUACCACCGAAGUUCUGGGCACGAAAGUGCGGUAGGGGAGCAUUCCAUUCCGCGUUGAAGCCGAACCGUGAGGUUUGGUGGAGUGUAUGGAAAAGCAAAUGUAGGCAUGAGUAACGAUAAUGCGGGAGAGUAACCCGCACACCGCAAGACCAAGGUUUCCUGAUCAACGCUAAUCGGAUCAGGGUUAGUCGGGUCCUAAGGGUAAGCCGAACGGUGAUCUCGAUGGAUAAUCGGUUAAUAUUCCGAUACUGACAUAUACCUCGAUGGAGAGACGAAGGAACGUAAGUGCCGCCACCUGACGGAAUAGGUGGUUAAAGGGCUUAGGUAUAGGGGCAGAUUAAGAGUUAGUCCUUGCUGAAACCUGACAGUACAGAGAGCCUACGGGCAAUUUGAUAGUGCACCCAAGUCGACUUCCGAGAAAAUCUUCUAAGUUAUAGUAUAUGUCACCCGUACCGUAAACCGACACAGGUGGUCGAGGAGAGUAUCCUAAGGUGCUCGAGUGAAUCACGGUUAAGGAACUAGGCAAAUUAACCCCGUAACUUCGGGAAAAGGGGUCCCAUCGCGAGGUGGGCGCAGCGAAGAGGUCCAGGCGACUGUUUAUCAAAAACACAGGGCUCUGCAAAUUCGAAAGAAGACGUAUAGGGCCUGACACCUGCCCGGUGCUGGAAGGUUAAGAGGGGAUGUCAUCGCAAGAGAAGCAUUGAAUCGAAGCCCCAGUAAACGGCGGCCGUAACUAUAACGGUCCUAAGGUAGCGAAAUUCCUUGUCGGGUAAGUUCCGACCUGCACGAAUGGUGUAACGAUCUGGACACUGUCUCAACCGUGAGCUCGGUGAAAUUGUAGU
rnacentral:rRNA from 1 species